AUGGUUAAUGCAGAGCCGGGGACCGAGGGCACCUCGGAGGGGCCGCAGCGGCUGUCUCCUGAGCCAGCCCCUGCAGUCAAACGGUCACAGCGGCAGGGAUGGACACAGCGGCAGCGCUGGCUCUGCAGCAGGACGCGGGCAGAGGAGGUGUUGAGAGGCAGCGGAGAGAUCAGCAUGCCAAGGGAGAAGGCAGAAAAGCAGCCGCGGAAACAGAGCAGAGCUACACCGCGGUGCAAACGCUUGCCUACAGGCAAGAAACCGGCUCCCGCCUGCGAGCGGGGGGGGGAGACGCGGCCCGGCUGGCGGAGAGGCGCCCUCCGAGGGAGGCUUCCAGCCCCCCGCCGGGCUCCCGGCCGGCGCCGGCUCCGGCUCCCUCGCCCGUUCCCCCGCGCCGCCAUGAGAUGGCACCCGGCCCCCGCGGCUGCGGCCCCGCGCAGGGUGCGCAGGGUGCUGGGCGCCCGCCGUGCCGGGCACGGCCAAGCCACGGUGCGCGGGGCGUCCGCCAGCGCCCGUCCCGGCCCCGCGACGCCCCGGGGCUCCCACCGCAGCGAGAUGCUCCGGAGCACGCGCAGGAUCGUUAGGUGUCAGUGCCUUCCCGUUCCCUGCCCGAGGCGUCGGGCGGCCGCAGGCGUCACCCGUAAGCGGGAUGCCGGGACAGCAGGGCCUCGGCCUCGAGCCGGCUGCAAGGCGCAGGGACAUCCCGGUGAGCAGCCGUGUGCCAGCCCGCCCCUGCGGCAACGCCGGUGCCAGGCGCCCUGCCGACUGCUGCUGGCCUCCCUUGGGGCCAGCUCCUUCCCUGCAUGGGGUUCCCAGCACCCCGAGCAGCUGCAGGCGUCAGGGCACCACGGGCCCUUCAAGCCCCCUCGCUGGUGGCCCCUGCUGUGCUGGACAUGCAAAGAGAGCGUGGGGCAAAAGCGCAUUUUCUCCAGCAGUGCCACGCAGACAGCGGCAGGACAAGAGGCGCCCGGCACGUCACACCCACCCCGGCCGUACCAUAACAGCCCCACAAACCGCACUUUCCCAGCCCCUGCCGCAUUACUGCACCGAUGA
rnacentral:lncRNA from 1 species